CUACGGGGGGCAGCAGUGAGGGAUAUUGGACAAUGGAUGGAAAUCUGAUCCAGCCAUGCCGCGUGCAGGAAGACGGCCCUAUGGGUUGUAAACUGCUUUUAUAUGGGAGCAAUAAGGUCUAUGCGUAGACUGAUGAGAGUACCAUAUGAAUAAGCAUCGGCUAACUCCGUGCCAGCAGCCGCGGUAAUACGGGGGAUGCAAGCGUUAUCCGGAUUUAUUGGGUUUAAAGGGUGCGUAGGCGGUUUGAUAAGUCAGCGGUGAAAUAUUUCAGCUUAACUGGAAGGGUGCCGUUGAUACUGUCAGGCUUGAAUAUGGUUGCUGUGGGUGGAAUGUGUGGUGUAGCGGUGAAAUGCUUAGAUAUCACACAGAAUAUCGAUUGCGAAGGCAGCUCACAAAGCCAUUAUUGACGCUGAUGCACGAAAGUGUGGGGAUCAAACAGGAUUAGAUACCCUGGUAGUCCACACCGUAAACGAUGAUAACUCGCUGUCGGCGAUAUACAGUCGGUAGCCAAGCGAAAGCGAUAAGUUAUCCACCUGGGGAGUACGACCGCAAGGUUGAAACUCAAAGGAAUUGACGGGGGCCCGCACAAGCGGAGGAACAUGUGGUUUAAUUCGAUGAUACGCGAGGAACCUUACCCGGGCUCGAACGGUGCAUGAAUACAUAAGAGAUUAUGUAGCUAGCAAUAGCAUGUAUCGAG
rnacentral:rRNA from 1 species